rnacentral:rRNA from 1 species
UACGUAGGGUGCUAGCGUUGUUCGGAAUCAUUGGGCGUAAAGCGAGUGUAGGUGGUUAGUAAAGUCGGGUGUGAAAGCCCACGGCUCAACCGUGGAAGUGCAUUCGAAACUAACUAGCUAGAAGAUGGUAGAGGGAGGUGGAAUUCCUAGUGUAGAGGUGAAAUUCGUAGAUAUUAGGAGGAAUACCGGUGGCGAAGGCGGCCUCCUGGGCCAUUCUUGACACUGAGACUCGAAAGCGUGGGUAGCAAACAGG